UACAGAGGUCCCAAGCGUUGUUCGGAUUCACUGGGCGUAAAGGGUGCGUAGGCGGUCGGGUAAGUCUGAUAUGAAAUCUCACAGCUUAACUGUGAAACUGCAUUGGAUACUAUCCGGCUCGAGGAAUGGAGGGGAGACUGGAAUACUUGGUGUAGCAGUGAAAUGCGUAGAUAUCAAGUGGAACACCAGUGGCGAAGGCGAGUCUCUGGACAUUUCCUGACGCUGAGGCACGAAAGCCAGGGGAGCAAACGGG
rnacentral:rRNA from 1 species